rnacentral:SRP_RNA from 1 species
GCUGGGCAUGGUGGUGUGUGCCUGUGGUCCCAGCUACUGAGGAGGCUGAGGCAGGAGGAUCACUUGAGCCCAGGAGUUGGAGGCUGCAGUGAGCUGUGAUCAUGCCACUGCACUCCAGCCUGGGUGACACAGUGAGAUCUUGUCUCAA